GACUCUUCAUCUGAAGUCUUCAUUCAUUUAGAAACAUCAUCAUCAUCUGCUGAACAACAUCUGUGCAACAUUCUAAUUCCAGGAAAGUUUCCUGAAAACGUUGUUGUAUCAAAUCAGGAGACUGAGCAGAGUCGACUCUCAACAGUUUCACAUCAUGACAGAAUACAACAUCACCAACAAAGA